GUGGGUUGCAAAAGAAGUAGGUAGCUUAACCUUCAGGAGGGCGCUUACCACUUUGUGAUUCAUGACUGGGGUGAAGUCGUAACAAGGUAACCGUAGGGGAACCUGCGGUUGGAUCACCUCCUUA
rnacentral:rRNA from 1 species